rnacentral:rRNA from 1 species
GACGAACGCUGGCGGCGUGCUUAACACAUGCAAGUCGAACGGUGAAGCGCCUUCCUUUUUGGUGGGUGUGGAUGAGUGGCGAACGGGUGAGUAACACGUGAGUAACCUGCCCCCUUCUUCUGGAUAACCGCAUGAAAGUGUGGCUAAUACGGGAUAUUCUGGGUCUGUCGCAUGAUGGGUCUGGGAAAGAUAUUGUUUCGGUGGGGGAUGGGCUCGCGGCCUAUCAGCUUGUUGGUGGGGUGAUGGCCUACCAAGGCGGUGACGGGUAGCCGGCCUGAGAGGGUGGACGGUCACACUGGGACUGAGACACGGACCAGACUCCUACGGGAGGCAGCAGUGGGGAAUAUUGCACAAUGGGCGCAAGCCUGAUGCAGCGACGCCGCGUGAAGGAUGGAGGCCUUCGGGUUGUGAACCUCUUUCGCCAGUGAAGCAGGCCUGCCUCGUUUGUGGGUGGGUUGACGGUAGCUGGAUAAGAAGCGCCGGCUAACUACGUG